GGAAGUGGAUAGGGCACUGGUGGCUCUCCUGGACUUCAAAUCCAGUGCGGGGCGCUGAGCGGCGUCCCGGGUGGGUUCGAUUCCCAUGCACUUCCGCCA
rnacentral:tRNA from 1 species